AAUAAGGUGCCUGAUUAAAGUUCUACUUUGAUAGAGUAGAUCAAGUAUAUUUAUACCCUUA
rnacentral:tRNA from 1 species